CGCCGAGAGAGAGAGAAGAGAAGAGGAGAGAUAGAGAGAGAGGGAGAGAGAGAGGCGACAACAAUGGCUGGAUGAAGCGUCCAAAGGGAUCGCAUUGAUCCAUCAUUCCUUCCAUUUUUUCAUGCAUGGCUGGUCUUCGUCGUCUGCAAGGACUUGUCGAUGGAUCAAUGCGAUCCUUUUGGAGGCUUCCCCUAGACAUUACUCUAUCUUCCUACCGCGCGCGCCUGCUUCAUCGGCAGUUGCAUCCAUCAAAUUCCGGCCCGUCUCUCGUAUGGCUGUUAAUUUCCAUGUGCCAGCAUCACAAGGUAUGCGGUUAAUUUCUCUUGUCUGCUGUGCUUAGUGAAGAUGUUGGCUCGCUGACGAUUUCUUGAUUGUUCUCGCUUGUUUCAUAACAAGAAUGACUAGAAUUUCCCAUGCACGUAAUUACAUUUAUUACAUGCUGAUGAUGAUGAUCCGCGAGACUCUCUGAAUACAAUAGACAAGCUGUGGAGAUUGCCUUCACCAGCCACCAGGUAGAGAUAGCUGUUGUGUGUAUUCUCUGUCUUCAUUCACAGUAAGAGAUUGAAAGAAUUUCCAAUUCGAAGCAUCGAUUGCUGUUUAAUUUCAUGGUAAAUGGGAAAAAAGAGGUGGUGACCUUUAUGUCACUGUACAUGUGGAUGACUCCAGUGUUACACCAUGUGACUUUUUUUAGGCAAACCUAACUGUUCUGGCUAUAGAUAUAUUCCAUAUACACUGAUGUUACAAAAUGGAAUAUAUAGAUCAGAGAGAAUCAGGCAUCUUCAGAUACUUUCAUGGUAAUCUAAGUAAGUUGGAUAGUGUACAUUGCAAACCGAAUUACUGAUCAGAUUUGCAUUUUAAUUGGUGGAGUGCGUGCAUCCAAAGUAUUUCCUACUAACAUGAGUAAUUAACAGCUUAACAUCUUGCAGCUAGCAUGACUAAGGUAGAUUCAUGAACAUACUAAUCUUCAAUCCCUCACUAAUGUGUUAUGCUUAUUUACAAUAUAAUAUACUGUGCAGAAAAUUUACUCCAGAUGCAGUGGAAUAAAUUAGUGACUGAAAGGACUCCUAAUUAAGCUAGUUCUAACUGCUCUAACUGAUCAUCAUAUCAUCAGAUGCAUGCAGGCCGGCGGCAGGCCCUAUUUGUACUAUUUAAGAUUAAAUUCUUAGUCGCAGCACUCCCAGAUGCCCUUUGACUCGUCCGAGAUCCAGUCUCAUCGCAUGCGCCAUGUGCAUGCACAUCGAUCAGGAGCACGAGCGUCGCCGCCGCUGAGGAUGGAGGAGGAUCCUGGCCUCCGGCUCCGGGCUGCUGUUCGCGGUCUCGCGGACAUGGACGUUGGACGACAUCGUUGAUAACUUGAUAUGCAGCUAGGCCACCGACAAGGAAAAUUUGCUACAGCUUCUUUUCUAUACUUACGGCUCCCCGCCAGUUUAAUUUGAGCACUGCCACCAAGUUUUGCCUGUUAUUCCAAGCUGUUUUAAUUUUUUUUCUAGUUGCUAGCUAGUACUCUUUUCACCCCAGAAUAGUUAUGCUAUUGUAUUCAUGUGUCGCUCAAAGUUUCUCGAGUUUUGUUUAGAUUUAUAUAAAAUUUUGGCUAAUUUUUAUC